rnacentral:rRNA from 1 species
AGGCAUGCAAGUCGCGCGACAAGUCCUUUCUGCUUGCAGAAAGGUGGAGGAGCGGCGCAAGGGAGAGUAACGCGUGGAUCAUCUACCUUCAGGAUCGGGAUAGCUGUGGGAAACUGCAGGUAAUACCGAAUAAUGUCUCCGGACCAAAUGGUGUGAUUCCUCCUGGAGAUGAGUCCGCGUCCUAUUAGCUUGUUGGUAAGGUAACGGCUUACCAAGGCAUUGAUGGGUACCGGGUGUGAGAGCAUGGCCCGGCUCACUGGGACUGAGACACUGCCCAGACACCUACGGGUGGCUGCAGUCGAGAAUCUUCGGCAAUGGGCGCAAGCCUGACCGAGCGACGCCGCGUGCGGGAUGAAGGCCUUCGGGUUGUAAACCGCUGUCAGAGGGGAUGAAAUGCGCAGGGAGUUAUCUCCCUGGUUUGACAUAUCCUCAGAGGAAGUACGGGCUAAGUUCGUGCCAGCAGCCGCGGUAAGACGAACCGUACAAACGUUAUUCGGAAUCACUGGGUUUAAAGGGUGCGUAGGCGGCUUGGCAAGUUGGGUGUGAAAUCCCUCGGCUCAACCGAGGAACUGCGCUCAAAACUGCCAGGCUAGAGGGAGAUAGAGGUGAGCGGAACUUAGGGUGGAGCGGUGAAAUGCGUUGAUAUCCUAAGGAACACCUGUGGCGAAAGCGGCUCACUGGAUCUCUUCUGACGCUCAGGCACGAAAGCUAGGGUAGCGAACGGGAUUAGAUACCCCGGUAGUCCUAGCUGUAAACGAUGAGCACUGGGUUGGAGGCCCCUCCAUAGGCUUCCGGCCGUAGCGAAAGUGUUAAGUGCUCCGCCUGGGGAGUAUGGUCGCAAGGC